rnacentral:rRNA from 1 species
AUGAAUACCCUUUUCUAGAACUGCCGGGGGGGGGGGCGCCGGACAGUUCGUGAGGUCUUGGCCCUCUCAAAAGCCAAUAACCCCAAACUAGUCUUCCUUUGUGAGACUAGGCAAGAAGCUGCAAAAGUUGAGAAGCUGCAAUGGAGACUCGGCCUAAAAGGGUUUCAUGGUGUGAGUAGCGAUGGAAGAAGUGGUGGCCUAGCCCUUUUUUGGGAUGAGUCACUGAUGAUAACGGUGCUAGACUCAUGUAACCGGUUUAUUGAUGUCAGCGUGGUGGAUGGUGGAUCUGGUACAUCUUGGCGCAGCACCUUCGUCUAUGGGGGGCCACAUGUGGAGAACAGAUAUCGCAUGUGGGAGCACCUAUGUGGGCUUAGAGCCAGAUCGCGUGAGCCAUGGAUGGUUUGUGGUGAUUUUAAUGAGGCACUUUGGCAACAUGAGCACCUUUCGAGAUCUAUGCGUUCUGAAGCUCAAAUGACGGCGUUUAGGGAUUUCUUGGAAGUGUGA